rnacentral:rRNA from 1 species
CUUGAACUAAAUAAGAGGUCCAGCCUGCCCAGUGAAAUUAUUCAACGGCCGCGGUAUCCUAACCGUGCGAAGGUAGCGUAAUCACUUGUUCUUUAAAUGAGGACUAGUAUGAAUGGCACCACGAGGGUUCUACUGUCUCCUUUUUCAAAUCAGUGAAACUAAUCUUCCCGUGAAGAAGCGGGAAUUUUUUUAUAAGACGAGAAGACCCUAUGGAGCUUUAAACAAAUGACAUUCGCUUAAUCUAAUAUUUUAUUUUCAAGAAAUAUAGCAUUAUGAUCUUUAGUUUUCGAUUGGGGUGAUCACGGAGAAAAAUUUAACCUCCACGCCGAAAGGGUUUAUUCCCUAAGCAAAAAGCUACAGCUUUAAGCACUAAAAAAUUAACGUAGUUUGACCCAAUAUUUUGAUCAACGAAC